rnacentral:misc_RNA from 1 species
AACGCACAUUGCGCCCCUUGGUAUUCCGAGGGGCAUGCCUGUUCGAGCGUCAUUAUGACCACUCAAGCCUAGCUUGGUAUUGAGGUUCGCGGUCUCGCGGCUCCUAAAAUCAGUGGCGGUGCCGUCUGGCUCUAAGCGUAGUAAUUUUCUCGCUAUGGAGUCCGGGUAGUUGCUUGCCAAAACCCUAACUUCUCACGGUUGACCUCGGAUCAGGUAGGGAUACCCGCUGAACUUAA